GCUCCCGCCGCCCAGCCGGUGAUCGCUCUCCGGCCGUCCCCGGCACCCUCGGCCCCCCACGGCGGUUGGUCCGGGCGGGGGAAGGAGAAAGUGAGACUCGGGGUCAUCACCAAUCCAUCGCCAGAAGGGGAGGAAAUUGGAAUCCAGCAGCGGCGAGCAGCAGCUGGGCGGUCACAUCUGGAAAUGGAAAGCCGACCUCCCCCUCCUCCUCCACCACCUCCUCCUCCUCCUCCUCUCACCCAGGAUCACUUCCGAAACCACUUGGCCUUCAGCCCCUGCCUCGGCCAGAGGUUUCAUUUUUAACUGAAUAUUUACGAAAGCUGAAAGCGUGCGAGGGGGGUGGGGUGGAAAUAGCGGCUGCUUCUUUUCCAGGGAUUUAUUUAAUGGGGAUGUGUUCAAGGCAAGACCGAAUUCAGAAGGAUAUCGACGUCGUGAUCCAGAAGUCCAGAGCUGAGGACUGCCUGUUUGCAGCUUUAAAUCAUCUAGGAACUUCAUAUAAAAUUUAAUUCCAGUUUCAACUAGUUGUGGAGCAUUUGAUCCAAAAUAAAAUGAAAGUCCUCUCUGAAGCUGUAGAGGAGACUCAAGA
rnacentral:lncRNA from 1 species